rnacentral:rRNA from 1 species
GAUGAACGCUGGCGGCGUGCCUAAUACAUGCAAGUCGAGCGAACAGACGAGGAGCUUGCUCCUUUGACGUUAGCGGCGGACGGGUGAGUAACACGUGGAUAACCUACCUAUAAGACUGGGAUAACUUCGGGAAACCGGAGCUAAUACCGGAUAACAUGUUGAACCGCAUGGUUCAACAGUGAAAGACGGUCUUGCUGUCACUUAUAGAUGGAUCCGCGCCGCAUUAGCUAGUUGGUAAGGUAACGGCUUACCAAGGCAACGAUGCGUAGCCGACCUGAGAGGGUGAUCGGCCACACUGGAACUGAGACACGGUCAAGACUCCUAAGGGAGGCAGCAGUAGGGAAUCUUCCGCAAUGGGCGAAAGCCUGACGGAGCAACGCCGCGUGAGUGAAGAAGGUCUUCGGAUCGUAAAACUCUGUUAUUAGGGAAGAACAAAUGUGUAAGUAACUAUGCACGUCUUGACGGUACCUAAUCAGAAAGCCACGGCUAACUACGUG